rnacentral:misc_RNA from 1 species
CGUAAAGGUGCAUGAGUGGUGUUUGUUAUGUUGCUGGUGGUUGGCUCUUUGCUUGUGCAACAACUUCCACCUGACAUACCUUUUCAUUUGACUGUUAAGGCUUGUAUUGCCAAAACAGUUUGUGGGUUUCUUGUGUUGCCUACCUAUCAUAAGGUACUUUUGUCGGCUGGUAUAAGUUUGUUUUGUCUUGUCUUGUUCUAUAUGAGAUCAGAUGAACCAUAAAGGCAUCUCUUUGAACCACACAUCUAGUGCUUGUGUGAUGUUGUGGUGCAUUGAUGUUUGCUUGGUAUCUUUGAUAUGGAAAUUGAUGUGGGCAUGGGUUUCAUGAGUUCCUUUUAUGUCCUGGUUUAGUGUUUACGCUUCUCUUAAACGACUGUUCAACUCGCAUUGGCUCGUACCAGUGUGUUGGGUUCUGUCGAAGAGGAAAGU